ensembl:lncRNA
CAGACCGCAAGUCAGGGGCAACUUACGCCCAUUGAAGGUUUCCAUUGAUGUGGUGUUUUCGAUUAAGUGCAUGCAUUUAUGAAGGAAGUAUUACAGGGUCAAUGACGAAGAUUUUGAAGGAGAUGAGGUCCUGGUCCACACCUGCGGAUUACCUGGUUUGGGGGGACCGUUGCUGUUCCUGUCCUUGUCCACCUGGUCAUACUUCUGACCUAGUCUAAAAUCAAAUAUACUCUGGAUUUAGCCAAGAGAAAUGUAUUUAUUAUUCCAAUUGGACUCUUAAUAUCUCACCCGGCACAGCCAGAAGAGGACUGGUCACCCCUCUGAGCCUGGGUCCUCUCUAGGUUUCUUCCUAAAAUUCGACCUUCUUAGGGAGUUUUUCCUAGCCACUGAAAUUCAACACUACUGUUGUUUGCUCCUUGGGGUUUAAGGCCGGGUGUCUCUGUAAAGCACUAAAGCGCUAUAUAAAUAAAUUUUGAUUGAUUGAUUGAUUGAUGUGGCGCAUGGAUUGCGAUUAUUACCUAAAACCUACCGGUAACGUACUGCGCGUUCCAGCUUGCAGUGCAGCUGCAACUUUGCUUCAAUCGAAUCCUGGUUGAGGCGUAUUGACAGUGCAUGAGGCUCCAACAGAGGGUGGUGCGAAAUGUACACGGCCUGGAUUUGACAGAUGGAUGUCAAACACGGUUGCCUUGUCUCGCACCACAUGGGGCUUAAGCCAGGUCUAGUCUAUUAGGGUACGUUAUAACUAGCUAAAGAUGUGUGAUGCACCUGUCACUCUAUGCAAGCAGGCAAGAUCCAUUUAUUUUGUAGCUUAAUAUACACUAUGUUGUCAUUAUUUAGAAAUGUAAACAAAAGAAUAAUUUGUCAUGGCCAUCUUCUAUGCAGUGGUGUAAAAAAUAGUAUUUGGCUGUGUUCACCGGUUUUGUGAAGUUGCUAAGGAUGAGCUAAAUUACCUAAACAGAGUUCAUAACUAACCAGUGAUCUUAAUUGAUUAUUUACACUCUUCCUUUUAAUUUUAUUGAUCACUGGUUAGUUUUGAAUUCCCAAAAUUUUGUACAAUUAUGAGAUUAGUGUGUUUGGCAACAAAGAAAACAAAGCAAGUAUUAGUAAAGAGCUGGAUUCUCAAGCCCUUAAAACCAGGGAUCAAGUGCGUAAUCUUGGUGUUCUGAUAAAACUCAGACCUCACAUUUAACAGUCAUAUUCAAACAGUCACCAAAACAGCAUUCUAUCAUCUAAAAAAUAUUGCAAGAUUUUCAGGCUUGGUGCCCCAAAAAGACCCAGAGAAGCUCAUCCAUGCUUUUAUCUCUAGUAGGGUUGACUACUGUAAUGGCCUCUUAACUGGACUCCCCAAAAAUACUUUAAAACAGCUGCAGCUCAUUCAGAAUGCUGAAUGAGCUGCAGGACCAAGAGAAAAGAACACAUCACUCCGGUUCUUAAAUCUUUGCAUUGGCUUCCAGUCAGUUACAGAAUAGAUUUCAAAGUGGUGCUUUUAGUUUAUAAAUCUCUGAAUGGUUACAUUUCUGAUAUGUUUGAAGAAUAUAAACUGAGCAGGGCUCGAUGUAUGAAUUGUGCUAUAUAAAUAAAUUUGCUUGCUUUACCUGGUUACUUAGAUCUUAAUUAGAUACUUCCCUAAAGUGGUGAACAAAGCCGAACACAGUUGAGUACUUUUACUUUGCACUUUGUACACCUCUACUUCUAUGUGAUUUUUUGGAUCUUUCAUUUCAGUUCCAAAGAUGCGUUGUUGAGCUGGGGGAUGCUGUUGCCUGGGUAAAUGCCACCACGGGCCUGUUCUGAGACGGUGUACAAGUCCUCACCCCUGAAUGAUGAGGAAAUACAGCUCUGCAGAUGCUCAGAGGCCUCAACUGUAGAGGAAGAACAAGAAGCUCUCUCCCAUUCAUGUUUUUGUUUAAUAAUUUUGAAGACACUGAAACAUUCAUAGACGAAAUAGACAAAAGAGGACUUAGUGAUAAUUUUGAGCUUCCCUGUUAAUUAUGUUUGUUGAUGAGGAUACCUAUUAGCUGUCUUUAAACCAUCAGCUAAUGCUGGGUUCCACACAACAAAAAUUACAAGCUCCAGAAAACACAAUAUAAUUUGACGAGACAAAGAGACAAGGAACAUCAUUUAUUUAGCAAGAGUAAACUGGACAGUGUUUUGGAAGUGUUCACCUGGCCAUACAACAUGAUAGGAUGAAUCCAAAGCCUACAGAAUCUGGGCAAAGCUGAAUACACAGUACAUAAAGAAACAGUUUAGUUUUGACAGUGUUGGAAUGUAAUGUUUAGAAUAUUUAAUGGGGUAAUUAAAUGUUUAAUUGUCUAACUGGCAUAUCAUUUAAUUUUGUAUUUCUUAGGUUAUGCCAUUAACUGGCCUAUAUUAAUUGACUUUCAAUAAUGUAUUUUGUGCUCUUUUUGACCUGUUCUACUUGUAAUUUAUGCUAUUGAAACAACUUUUAGGAUAAGGGUUGAAUUAGAUGUAACACAUAUUCCUCCCAACAAUGUUUUAAGUCCAUAACCAUAUCAUUACUAUAUAAUAAAAAUGGUGCUUGUUCCAGGCACCCCUGGAUAAAUGUAUUGUUCUGUAAACAGAUGUUGACCUGACCUCUAAAUUAUGCAAAUUUAAACUUGCCACCUUUCUGCAACAGGCUAUAGAAAAUUCCACACUUCCAGUUACCAAUUUCAACUUUCUAGAAGAUUGCUGUUCAAUUGAACAAUGCAAGUCAGAGGAAGGAGAAACCAUUACAAUGAUUUGUAUGAAAACUGGUCAGAUCUAUACAGCAGAACCCACAGGUCUCGGAAAAGGACCUUCAGAACAGUUUAGCUGUCACUGAAGUUGUUGCUCACAGGUCCACCGCACAGUGUACCUUACACAGUAUGUUCACAUUUGUCUAAUAUGUUGAAUCUAUGGAAAAUACAUAAAUGGUAAUACUGUAUAGCAUAGCAUAGCAUAGCAUCAUCUUCCGCUUAUCCGGGGCCGGGUCGCGGGGGCAGCAGUCUAAGCAGGGAAGCCCAGACUUCCCUCUCCCCAGACACUUCCUCCAGCUCUUCCGG